AUUGAACGCUGGCGGCAGGCCUAACACAUGCAAGUCGAGCGGAUGAAGGGAGCUUGCUCCCGGAUUCAGCGGCGGACGGGUGAGUAAUGCCUAGGAAUCUGCCUGGUAGUGGGGGAUAACGUCCGGAAACGGGCGCUAAUACCGCAUACGUCCUGAGGGAGAAAGUGGGGGAUCUUCGGACCUCACGCUAUCAGAUGAGCCUAGGUCGGAUUAGCUAGUUGGUGGGGUAAAGGCCUACCAAGGCGACGAUCCGUAACUGGUCUGAGAGGAUGAUCAGUCACACUGGAACUGAGACACGGUCCAGACUCCUACGGGAGGCAGCAGUGGGGAAUAUUGGACAAUGGGCGAGAGCCUGAUCCAGCCAUGCCGCGUGUGUGAAGAAGGUCUUCGGAUUGUAAAGCACUUUAAGUUGGGAGGAAGGGCAGUAAGUUAAUACCUUGCUGUUUUGACGUUACCAACAGAAUAAGCACCGGCUAACUUCGUG
rnacentral:rRNA from 1 species